rnacentral:rRNA from 1 species
CAAUAGCGUGUAUUAAAGUUGUUGCAGUUAAAAAGCUCGUAGUUGAAUUUCUGGUGGGCGCGCCGGUCUUCCAAGUGUUGUACUGGGCGCAGUCCGCCAUCCUUGUGGAGAGGGCUCGCAUUGAGUUGCGUGUCGGAUCUGCAUCAUUUACUGUGAAAAAAUUAGAGUGUUUAAAGCAGGCUGUCGCUUGAAUACAUUAGCAUGGAAUAAUAAGAUAGGACUUCGGUCUAUUUUGUUGGUUGCGAACCGAGGUAAUGAUUAAUAGGGAUAGUUGGGGGUAUUCAUAUUUAAUUGUCAGAGGUGAAAUUCUUGGAUUUAUGAAAGAUGAACAACUGCGAAAGCAUUUACCAAGGAUGUUUUCAUUAA